GGGGGGGGGGGAGCUUCUUCACUUGUUCUUGAGCUCAUGUCGGUGUCAAGGAUAGGACUUUCGUUCUUAUGAUCUUGAAUUUAUUGUUUACCAUCAUCCUAACUAGUAUUAUGCUUGUCCACCUCUUUAUAAUUUAAACUUUGUUACUGAAAACAAAAGUAGCAAUGAUAAUUCUGUAAUGGAUCCAUAAAAAAAAAUCAAUGUUCUCUGUUCCAACUUACCAUGCCUUCAGUGCUCAUGUCUUGCAUUCUUUGUU